UACGUAGGGGGCAAGCGUUGUCCGGAAUCAUUGGGCGUAAAGAGCGUGUAGGUGGCUCGGUAAGUCCGCUGUAAAAGUCCAGGGCUCAACCCUGGAAAGCCGGUGGAAACUGUCGAGCUAGAGUCCGGAAGAGGCGAGUGGAAUUCCUGGUGUAGCGGUGAAAUGCGCAGAUAUCAGGAGGAACACCUGUGGCGAAAGCGGCGCACUGGACCAUAACUGACGCUGAUGCGCGAAAGCUAGGGGAGCAAACAGG
rnacentral:rRNA from 1 species